UACGUAGGGGGCAAGCGUUGUCCGGAAUCAUUGGGCGUAAAGAGCGCGUAGGCGGCCCUGUAAGUCCGCUGUGAAAGUCAAGGGCUCAACCCUUGAAUGCCGGUGGAUACUGCAGGGCUAGAGUCCGGAAGAGGCGAGUGGAAUUCCUGGUGUAGCGGUGAAAUGCGCAGAUAUCAGGAGGAACACCGAUGGCGAAGGCAGCUCGCUGGGACGGUACUGACGCUGAGGAGCGAAAGCGUGGGUAGCAAACAGGG
rnacentral:rRNA from 1 species